GACGAACGCUGGCGGCGUGCUUAACACAUGCAAGUCGAACGGUGAAGCUCUAGCUUGCUGGAGUGGAUCAGUGGCGAACGGGUGAGUAACACGUGAGCAACCUGCCCCAGACUCUGGAAUAAGCGCUGGAAACGGCGUCUAAUACUGGAUACGAGAUCAAGCCGCAUGGUUAUGGUGUGAAAAUUUGUGCGGUUUGGGAUGGGCUCGCGGCUUAUCAGCUUGUUGGUGGGGUAAUGGCUGACCAAGGCGGCGACGGGUAGCCGGCCUGAGAGGGCGACCGGCCACAAUGGGACUGAGACACGGACCAGACUCCUACGGGAGGCAGCAGUGGGGAAUAUUGCACAAUGGGCGAAAGCCUGAUGCAGCGACGCCGCGUGAGGGAUGACGGCCUUCGGGUUGUAAACCUCUUUCAGCAGGGAAGAAGCGAAAGUGACGGUACCUGCAGAAGAAGCACCGGCUAACUACGUG
rnacentral:rRNA from 1 species